GUUUAAGUAUCUAACAUUUUUAUUGACUUUACUGUUUUUAAAAACUCAGUUGUUGAUUAAACCUCAAGCUUUAACCCAAGAUUUACCAACUUUAUUGGCAUCAUCACCAUCUCUGCCACCUGGCGCCAACAAUUCUAAAGAAAACCUCCAAAGUUUGUCAAGGAGUGAUAUUUUUUUUAUUUGGAGCUAAAGCCACCCUAAGCCUAAAUCAAAUUGGAUUUUUUAUAUAUAGGCCCAUAAUGGAGGCAAAGACUUGCCUCAUUUUAAAUUUCAGCCUCCUGGUGGCAGAAGAGGCAGGACAACAAACCUUGUUGUUAAUCACUAU